UACAGAGGUCCCAAGCGUUGUUCGGAUUCACUGGGCGUAAAGGGCGCGUAGGUGGUGAGGUAAGUCGGAUGUGAAAGCUCCGAGCUCAACUCGGAAAUGGCAUUGGAAACUACCUUGCUCGAGGGUUUGAGGGGGGACUGGAAUACUUGGUGUAGCAGUGAAAUGCGUAGAUAUCAAGUAGAACACCAGUGGCGAAGGCGGGUAGCUGGGCCGGCACUGACGCUGAGGCGCGAAAGCCAGGGGAGCGAACGGG
rnacentral:rRNA from 1 species